UCCAGCUCAUCCACCGUUAUCAUGUUGCAAAGUUCCAGCAGCCACAUCAGCAGCUCCCCAGAAAGGGAAGGGGAUCACCAACCCAUAAGCAGCACACCAAUGAAGUAGGCGGAUGUUGUUGAAGGCCAGCAGGAUGGCAGGAUACUUCAGGCACGAAACUACAAGACUCUUCAACAGUUAUGUCUAAAACCCAGACAGAAUAAGGAUGCCAUGAAACAGAUCCUUGACCUCGAGUUUGAGGGAAGAAGGGCAUUUAUUGAUUCAGAUACGCUGAAGGAAUGUGACCGGCCGGCAAAAAUUCUCGACGCAUUCCCAUGCUUCAAAGAUAUCGAACAUGUCCUAGAGGAACUUAGACGAAUUUUGGACAACAGCAACCCAAACUAUGUGGCAGAGAUGCAACAGCGGUUGCUUGAAUUUAAAACUAAAGCAACUUUUUAUGGGGUGUUCAAGAAGGUC